CUACGGGGCGCAGCAGUGAGGAAUAUUGCGCAAUGGGGGAAACCCUGACGCAGCGACGCCGCGUGGAUGAUGAAGGCUUUCGAGUCGUAAAAUCCUGUCAGAUGGGAAGAAGUGUAUGAGGGAACAAUACCCCUUGUAUUUGACGGUACCAUCAAAGGAAGCACCGGCUAACUCCGUGCCAGCAGCCGCGGUAAUACGGAGGGUGCAAACGUUGUUCGGAAUUACUGGGCGUAAAGCGCGCGUAGGCGGUUUGUUAAGUCAGAUGUGAAAGUCCAUGGCUCAACCAUGGAAGUGCAUUUGAUACUGGCGAACUUGAGUACUGGAGGGGGUAGUGGAAUUCCCGGUGUAGAGGUGAAAUUCGUAGAUAUCGGGAGGAAUACCGGUGGCGAAGGCGACUACCUGGCCAGAUACUGACGCUGAGGUGCGGAAGCGUGGGGAGCAAACAGGAUUAGAUACCCCCGUAGUC
rnacentral:rRNA from 1 species